GACGGCGAGAUGCUCUUAUUGCGCCUAUGGCCGCCGGUUGCUUGUGUCGCCACGGCCACAGCCGUUUUGGUUUGUCUCCAAUGAUCCAAUCUCGAAUGUCGUCUGCCUCUACGCCCACGCCCACGGCCGUGGCGCGGCCGGCCGGGAGGUACGCCGUGUACGUCGCGGCCGUGCCGCUGAGGGGCCCUCAGGGUCCGGCCCAGGCCCUGAUGUCUUCGGCCUACUCGCUGGGUCUGUGGGACCUUCAGCACUUCAUGGUGCUCCUCCGGCCCGACCCUGCCCGAACCCGAACCCAGGUGCAGGAGCCGGAGCCGUCGUUGGUGUUCGAUUUCCAGCCUCUCGACCCGGAGGAUGCUCUCGCCGCCUUCUCCGUGCUCUCGCGGAGCAAAAUACCGGGGGUGGUUCGGAGGAGAACGCUGCGGCGGAUCCCUGACAGGAGGAGCUGGUUCGUCGGCCUCAGCGACGGCGGCGCCGCCGACGCCGCCGAGAGGUUCAGCGAGCGAUGGCCGACCGACCUGGUCGUCGGGAACCACGACUGCCGAGACUACACCAACGGUUGGCAGCCACAAUUGCCGCUUUACUUACACAACAUUGCUGCCAUCUCUUCUUUUCAUCAUCUCAAUCUUUUCUUUCUCUGUGUGUGUGCGCGCAUGAUCUCCUUCGCAAGGGCUGGUGGAAGUCUUGACAGGACAAAAACGCGUCCUCGACUCGCUGAGAUCAGCAGGCCGCCAAUGAGGCCGCGCCAUCAUGGGAUAUAUGAGGAUUCCGACUGCUCACGCUCAUCUGUGAAUUCUUCUAAUCCUAGACCAAGAAAACGUACUGCCUGCAACUACUAAUGAAACGCAUCAGCCUUCUCGGACAAAGGUGUGGCAUAAAUAAGAAAUGCACUUUGAGGAAUUCCUCGGCUGGAGCUUGAAGCAAAAGUAGAAAAACUAAUCAAUGUAACCAGGUGCUGGUUGCUGAGUAUCUGUCUGACAACAGGAGGCUUAUCGAGAUCUCGUCAAAUCGGAGGUCACAACUCACCAACCUAACAAGACAAGGUGAUCUGCUGGGACAUUUCAUCCAUGAUGGAUGGAUGGAUGGAUGUGCGGUGCCCCUACCUACCCUGGGACUGCACCUUAUCAACAAGGUAGCAACUCAAGCCCUGCGCAGGCAAUCGAUUAGCGUUGUGCCUGCCUACAACAGUGGAGGCAGACCCCAGUGUGUAAUUAGCUGGCCACCCAAAUACCGAAACCUAAUCUGCACCGUGCUUUUACUUUCUGUCUGUAGCCAGCUGCAGAAUUCCAGCAUCUUUUCGGUAAUCUUUCAGCUGCACAAUCUAAUUAAGCUAGCGCUACUUUGACUUGUGCUUGAAUAUAGAUUAAUCAUGGUUGUGCAGUAUUAAUUCAUCCUAAUGUACUUAUGUGCUCAUUUUUUGUUUGCUUGGAGAAGACAUGCUGACCAUCCAUUUUGUUUUGUAUAAAUGAUUUCCAUA